rnacentral:rRNA from 1 species
GAUGAACGCUGGCUACAGGCUUAACACAUGCAAGUCGAGGGGAAACGACGGGGAAGCUUGCUUUCCCGGGCGUCGACCGGCGCACGGGUGAGUAACGCGUAUCCAACCUGCCUCUGACUGAGGGAUAACCCGUCGAAAGUCGGCCUAAUACCUCAUGGUAUCGUCUGCGGGCAUCCAACGACGAUUAAAGAUUUCAUCGGUCAGGGAUGGGGAUGCGUCUGAUUAGCUUGUUGGCGGGGUAACGGCCCACCAAGGCUACGAUCAGUAGGGGUUCUGAGAGGAAGGUCCCCCAGAUUGGAACUGGGACACGGUCCAAACACCUACGGGAGGCAGCAGUAAGGAAUAUUGGUCAAUGGACGAGAGCCUGAACCAGCCAAGUAGGGUGCAGGAACACGGCCCUAUGGGUUGUAAACUGCUUUUAUGCAAGGGUAAAGUGAGGGACGUGUCCCUCAUUGCAGGUACCGCAUGAAUAAGGACCGGCUAAUUCCGUG